GUUAAUAUAAGAGGAUAAGAAAGCAACCUGAAGAACUCAGUUAUCCAUCAGGAAGACUAUUCUGAUGUCAGGAUUGUUACACUGGAGUGAGUGACAAGGGACGAUGUGGGACCUUCUCAGUGAGACCAGAAAAAUGGGAUUGAUUCUCCUCUGAACAGCUCAUGUCUUCAUGUGGAGGGUAGGGGUAGGAAGGAGGCUCUCAAAGUCCCUUCCAGGCCUAGGAUUCAGUGAUUCAUGAAAUCAUGAAGCAAGGUGGGAGGACCCAGUUUGUCCUUUACUUACAUUUAUGCUCUCAUCUUUUAAAGGAGCCACAAAAAUGAGACUGCUUCCUGUAAAUAUAAUAUGUUAAUAUUUUUUUCUACAACUGAGACAUAAUCCAAGUACUUUCUAAGAAGAGAGAGAGUCUGCUGUUCUCUUACCUUUCUUCUCAGACUUGAAUAAGCCGACUGAGGAAAAUAGAGUAGAAAGAAGAACCUGUCAGCAUAUUGUCAGCACAGGAGAAAAAGCACACAAUCCAACUGAAGAGUGAAAGAUGCAGACUUCAGGACAUCAAAGCUUCAGUGAGAAACAUAAUAGUAUAGAUUUGAGGUCCCCUAGCUCCUGAGGAAACAAAAAUGAUUAAUGGAAUUACUGUGGUCUGUGAUCAGUGAAGAUGUCUAUUGAGAAAAAUAAUCAGGAUUGGCACCACAACAUCAGAAGUUAUGCUAUUACCAGGUAAGUAAACCCUUUCCCUGGUUCAACUUCAUUCUUGCAGUUCCUGCAAUGUGUAUGGACUCAGUCAUUAUGAAUACAGCAAGAAA